GCACAACCGGAGGCUGCAGUUUCAGGUCCGCAGUUCUAGGACCGCAUUUCUAGGACCCUGUUUUUUUGUAACAGCGCCACCUACCGAAUUGGAUCACCGAAGAUGGACGACAUGGACAGCAAUCAAAGUUGCUAUCUCUGAGGAAAUCCACAUUCAGGCUUUCGAUGACUGCACCCAGGGUCGUUCCUGGCUGACACGGGGCCCGGUGCGAGGUAGGGAGCGGGGCCCCCCUCUGUCCAUUCAUGAUCUGUUCGCCACGGGGCCCCCUCACAGCGCGGGGCCCGGUGCGACCGCACCAGUUGCACCGCCCAAAGGAUGGCCCUGACUGCACCGCAGAGGAAAAGAGACUGGUGGACUUCAUUGUAAAGUUACUGGGAUCAGAGGAGCGUUUGGGUGUACUCAAAGGGAAGCCCUAAAAUUUCCUCGACAGUGAGGAACAACAGAACAUCCUUUUUGUCUAUUUGAGAGGAGCACUGCAUAGGACAACAACACAACUGAGCUUCACAGAUGGAGUGCAGUUCAUCUGUGGUGUUCUUAUUACAAACAGAGGAGGCUGAGCAGGUCUUCCUUUCUGGUCCGGAUUAUCAUUACAGGAGUUGAAGCCUACAGCCUUUCUGCCCAUGCAGCAACUGAUGGAAAAGGGGGUCUUUUUUACGAUGUUGUAUUACGUGUUAUUUAAAAAAUGAGUAUAUAUAUAAAUAUAAAUUCUUGAAUCAUUCUUAGGUCGUGUCUUGCCUCUUCAUAAACUUUUAAACAUCUGGCUGUAAUUUAAUGACUGCACAUGCUGAUUUCAUUUGAUUCCAUCUUUAUUAGGCUAUACCUGAUAAUGAGCUAAUUAAUUAAAUUUAAGGGGUUAAUCAAUAUAUUUCAAGACUUAAAGGGAUAGUU